CUGGUUAAAUAAAGGUGUUCUCAACUGGCCUACCUGGUUAAAUAAAGGUGUUCUCAACUAGCCUACCUGGUUAAAUAAAGGUGUUCUCAACUGGCCUACCUGGUUAAAUAAAGGUGUUCUCAACUAGCCUACCUGGUUAAAUAAAGGUGUUCUCAACUAGCCUACCUGGUUAAAUAAAGGUGUUCUCAACUAGCCUACCUGGUUAAAUAAAGGUGUUCUCAACUAGCCCACCUGGUUAAAUAAAGGUGUUCUCAACUAGCCUACCUGGUUAAAUAAAGGUGUUCUCAACUAGCCUACCUGGUUUAAUAAAGGUGUUCUCAACUAGCCCACCUGGUUAAAUAAAGGUGUUCUCAACUAGCCUACCUGGUUAAAUAAAGGUGUUCUCAACUAGCCUACCUGGUUAAAUAAAGGUGUUCUCAACUAGCCUACCUGGUUAAAUAAAGGUGUUCUCAACUGGCCUACCUGGUUAAAUAAAGGUGUUCUCAACUAGCCUACCUGGUUAAAUAAAGGUGUUCUCAACUGGCCUACCUGGUUAAAUAAAGGUGUUCUCAAC
ensembl:lncRNA